AACGCUAGCUACAGGCUUAACACAUGCAAGUCGAGGGGCAGCAUGAACUUAGCUUGCUAAGUUUGAUGGCGACCGGCGCACGGGUGAGUAACACGUAUCCAACCUGCCGAUGACUCGGGGAUAGCCUUUCGAAAGAAAGAUUAAUACCCGAUGGCAUAGUUCUUCCGCAUGGUAGAACUAUUAAAGAAUUUCGGUCAUCGAUGGGGAUGCGUUCCAUUAGGUUGUUGGCGGGGUAACGGCCCACCAAGCCUUCGAUGGAUAGGGGUUCUGAGAGGAAGGUCCCCCACAUUGGAACUGAGACACGGUCCAAACUCCUACGGGAGGCAGCAGUGAGGAAUAUUGGUCAAUGGACGAGAGUCUGAACCAGCCAAGUAGCGUGAAGGAUGACUGCCCUAUGGGUUGUAAACUUCUUUUAUACGGGAAUAAAGUGAGGCACGUGUGCCUUUUUGUAUGUACCGUAUGAAUAAGGAUCGGCUAACUCCGUGCCAGCAGCCGCGGUAAUACGGAGGAUCCGAGCGUUAUCCGGAUUUAUUGGGUUUAAAGGGAGCGUAGGCGGACGCUUAAGUCAGUUGUGAAAGUUUGCGGCUCAACCGUAAAAUUGCAGUUGAUACUGGGUGUCUUGAGUACAGUAGAGGCAGGCGGAAUCCGUGGUGUAGCGGUGAAAUGCUUAGAUAUCACGAAGAACUCCGAUUG
rnacentral:rRNA from 1 species